rnacentral:rRNA from 1 species
AACAACCGGGAUUGCUUAGUAACGGCGAGUGAAGCGGCAAAAGCUCAAAUUUGAAAUCUGGCACCUUCGGUGUCCGAGUUGUAAUUUGAAGAAGUAACUUUGGGGCUGGUCCUUGUCUAUGUUCCUUGGAACAGGACGUCAUAGAGGGUGAGAAUCCCGUGUGGCGAGGAUCCCAGUUCUUUGUAAAGUGCUUUCGACGAGUCGAGUUGUUUGGGAAUGCAGCUCUAAGUGGGUGGUAAAUUCCAUCUAAAGCUAAAUAUUGGCGAGAGACCGAUAGCGAACAAGUACAGUGAUGGAAAGAUGAAAAGAACUUUGAAAAGAGAGUGAAAAAGUACGUGAAAUUGUUGAAAGGGAAGGGCAUUUGAUCAGACAUGGUGUUUUGCGACCCUCGCUCCUUGUGGGUGGGGAUCUCGCAGCUCACUGGGCCAACAUCGGUUUUGGCGGCAGGAUAAAACUUUGGGAAUGUAACUUGUCUUCGGAGAAGUAUUAUAGCCCAAGGCAAUACUGCCAGCCGGGACCGAGGACUGCGACUUUUGUCAAGGAUGUUGGCA